rnacentral:rRNA from 1 species
AAGGUCCUACGGGGGGCAGCAGUGGGGAAUAUUGCGCAAUGGGCGAAAGCCUGACGCAGCGACGCCGCGUGAGGGAUGAAGGCCUUCGGAUCGUAAACCUCUGUCAGCAGGGAAGAACGGUCACUGUGCUAAUCAGCAGCGAAUUGACGGUACCUGCAAGGGAAGCACCGGCUAACUCCGUGCCAGCAGCCGCGGUAAUACGGAGGGUGCGAGCGUUAAUCGGAAUUACUGGGCGUAAAGCGCUCGUAGGCGGUAUGUCAAGUCAAGGGUGAAAUCCCCGCGCUCAACGGGGGAGCUGCCUUUGA